CGUUCUGGAUACGGGCGGGCUCCAUGGAAUGUAGAUGAGAAGCAGCAGACCUGUGUGAGAAGUUAAGAACCUAACAGUCACCUUUAAUUUAUCGGUAGUUCUCUCUCUUAACUUUCUUUAUGGUCCGAUCCUAAAAGCUAGAGGAGCACACUAGUAUAAGUUAUGUCUUAGCGCUGUAGCUUUUUUCAAUAUCGAGAUGAGGAGUAUGGCAUAUCUUCUGUUUCUCUCUUUC